GCGUAAUUGGUUUAGUGGUAAAAUUCUCCGUUGCCAUUCAAUGAAUGCACUAUCGGGGAGCCCUGGGUUCGAUUCCCAGAUUACGCA